rnacentral:rRNA from 1 species
UACAGAGGUCUCAAGCGUUGUUCGGAUUCAUUGGGCGUAAAGGGUGCGUAGGCGGCGCGGUAAGUCGGGUGUGAAAUCUCGGGGCUUAACUCCGAAACUGCAUUCGAUACUGCCGUGCUUGAGGACUGGAGAGGAGACUGGAAUUUACGGUGUAGCGGUGAAAUGCGUAGAUAUCGGGAGGAACACCAGUGGCGAAGGCGACUUCCUGGCCUGUUCUUGACGCUGAGGCGCGAAAGCUGGGGAGCAAACGGGG